CCUACAGCCUUGGGCUCACUAACGUACCUGCAGUCACGGGGCAGCACUUCCCUCCUUGCCUAUUCAUGCUGCCUGCACCUUGGAUUACCAUGGCGCAUGUGGUGUGCCCAGGCAGAGGCAGCACCAGCCCUGGGGGCGAGCCACCGUGCUAGUACCACUCAGUGCAGCGCUGCGGUGAGCCCAGCACAGAGGUUCUGAGGGUUUAGAAGAGCAGCUUCCAGUGCAGAAGACUCCCAUCUAACAAUUUGCUUACGACAUCCACUUUUACAAUCAUGUUUAGUAGUUGUCUGUACUUAUGUAUUCAGCCUGUCAUGGUGAUUUUAGUGUGUCAUUUAAUAAGGUGUUUUUCAACUUGACACACUGUACUUUCCCAACCUUAAUUCAUCCUUCCAUUCAUCUUAAGGUAAAAAAUAGAUGGGUGACAUUUUCCACCCAAAUUCCAAAAUUGCAAAACCAGGAUCAAGCAUUAAUAAUUCCCUUAUUUAUAUAUAUGGUGUUAAUAUUGUGAGGGACCAUUUUAGAGGCUAGGUAGAUGUUUUCCUUGCUGAAAUUAUUGCUCAGCUCAGAAGGAAUUGAUGACCUUUGAUGAAGACACAGGACUUAUGUAUGUAGUACAUCUUUAAAUAUGCUAAGGAUGGGGAAAACAACCUGUAUUUUGUCUUGGGUCGCUGCCUAAAACACAAGAUAAGUGCAACAACUCUUUUAAGGUGACUUGAUUUUAUGAGGAGGUUUUUUCAAAGAUUGAUGCUUACGAUGCAUAUGAUGUGUAAUGGUUGAGUAGCAGUGGGCUGGCAGAAGUGAGUUCUAGAUCACACGUUGGGCAUUCUUGUUUGAUUUGCUGUGUGAGAACAGGCAACAUGCCCAAAUGCAUUCUUCCUAAGCAUUUGGUAGUUUAUUUAUAAAGUAGGGAUUUGACACUUUCCUUUUGUACUUCUGAGAGGAGGCUGUAUUAUUUGUAGAACUUUGAUGUUUUCUGGUAGACCUGAAUUCUGACCAUAUUGUUUGUUGAGCUUUUGAUUGAUUGAUCAGGUUAUUUCUAGAAAUCUGACCACCAAGACUGAGGAAGAAUAGUUACCUCAGGCAUCUGUAUAUCAAAACUAAGUGUUUCUUUUACAUACAGUAUGGGAGUGGUCAGAAACACCCAUGAAUUAAACCGAGUUCAAGUACUGGUGUUGCCACUUACUAAUGAUAUGACCUUGGUUAAGUCACUGAACCCCUCCCAGCCUGCUGACUUCUCUGUAAAAAGCUGAUAGUAUACAACGUAUUUCAUAAGGUCAUAAAUAAAACAUGGAGUGCUCAGCACAGACCCUGAUGCUAAAUAAGUUCUAAGUUCUAUUAUUUCUCUUCUUUAUAAUGUGCAAUAAGAAUCAUCGAUUAACUAGUGCUAUAGUAAAGGGCUAUACUUUGAAAUUGUUUCUUCUGAAUGAUUUCUCUAUAAGAAUUCCCUUGGGUAAUUCAGAUGUCUGACUUGGGCAAAGUAUUUGCUCGCUUGUUCUUCUACCUCUGAUUUAAGUACAGUACAAGGGGGUAUACCUUCUUUUGAUGAACUGAUGUUUGCCUAUAUCAUGGCUAGAGUCAGGCUAUGAAAUAUUUUCACAAGUAAAUUUCUCCUAUAAUUAGAUCCUCGCUAGAGGGUAUAUUACUAAUGGGUUUUAUUCCACGGUACAGGCCCAAAAAUUGCACUGCAGUAAAAACAAGCUUGUUUUUAAUGAUAGAAGAUAUCUUUGGAUGGUACCCAAGCCAACCUGUCAUGGACAGCUUUAUGUAUGACUGUAUGGUGAGAUUACCAUGGUUCCUUUUUUAAAAUAGCAUCAAAUAGAUGGUACUGCUUACAGUAGGAGGGUUUUGCAGCUGCAGCCUAGAAACAAGGGGACAGGUCUUAUGGCUUGUCUGUAGUUAAUGUGCUUUAUCCUGUGUUAGAAUGGGUACCACAUGGUAUGAUCUGGGUCGCCCCUUUAUCCAACAGAUAUGGCACCCACACCACCUGGAGAUGUCAGAAACUGUCAGCAACCAAAUGACCCUUUCAGAUGACCUCUGUUGAAAUCUUUGUUGCCUUGAAAAGAUAAUGUGAGGGAAGGAGAACACUGACUAAUGUAUCAAAUUGCAGAAAGAUUAACUCUCGGUGAGCAAGAUCCCAAGAGAAGUCAGUCUUAGGACAGAGCAGUUUUGAUAUAAGGAAAGAGAAAACAAAGGUCAGAGAAUUUAUGGGAUGUGCCCUGAUAGGAUCCUUAAGUUGGGAGUCCUGAGAAGCCGAAGGAAUGAUGAGAUACGCACUUUACUGAGGAAGUGGGGUGUGCUAUGAAAGGGUGCUUCAGGACCUUCCCUGACAACCAGCCUCCUCCUCAGCUGUGCCUGGACUGAUCCUGUGUGACACCAGGUGAAUAAUCCCAAAGGACUAGGAAACACAGCGUCCCCCAAAGCACGGUCGAUGCAGCCCUGUCCAACACAAAUAUAACAGGAGCCGCACAUGCAAUUUAAAAUCUUCUCAUAGCUGCAUUUAAAAGGCUCCAACCUUAGCCUUAUCUGGCCUGCCUUUAGCAAGAAUCCUGCUGUCAGUUUGUAGAGAAUUUCCCACCCUCAAGAUACCUAAUCACCCUUGAUAACUUCUCACGUUCCCCA